GACGAACGCUGGCGGCGUGCUUAACACAUGCAAGUCGAACGAAGUGGCGAACGGGUGAGUAACGAGUAAUCAACCUGCCCUUCAGAGGGGGACAACAGUUGGAAACGACUGCUAAUACCGCAUACUGAAGGAGGGGAUUGCGUGUGAUGCGAUAGUUGGAGGGGUAACGGCCCACCAAGGCGAUGAUCAGUAGCCGGUCUGAGAGGAUGAUCGGCAACAUUGGGACUGAGACACGGCCCAGAUUCCUACGGGAGUCAGCAGUGGGGAAUCUUCCGCAAUGGACGAAAGUCUGACGGAGCAACGCCGCGUGUGUGAAGAAGGCCUUCGGGUUGUAAAACUCUUUUAUUAGGGAAGCGGUACCUAAUCAGAAAGCCACGGCUAACUACGUGCCAGCAGCCGCGGUAAUAC
rnacentral:rRNA from 1 species